CUUGGUCAUUUAGAGGAAGUAAAAGUCGUAACAAGGUUUCCGUAGGUGAACCUGCGGAAGGAUCAUUCACAAACGAGUGUUUUAUGGCACUCUUUAAAAAUCCAUAUCCACCUUGUGUGCAAUGUUUGUUGGGAAAGUCUUUUCUUUCCCUUCAUAAAUAUCAACCUAUAUCUUUAACAACAUUCGUCUGAUAACAUAUUAUGAAUAUACUUAAUUCAAAAUAUAACUUUCAACAACGGAUCUCUUGGCUCUCGCAUCGAUGAAGAACGCAGCGAAAUGCGAUACGUAAUGUGAAUUGCAGAAUUCAGUGAAUCAUCGAAUCUUUGAACGCAUAUUGCGCUCUUUGGUAUUCCGAAGAGCAUGCUUGUUUGAGUAUCAGUAAACACCUCAACCUCUCUUUUUUGAUAAAAAAAAGGGAGGGUGGACUUGAGCUAUCCCAACGACCUUCACCGGUAGGCGGGCGGCUUGAAAUGCAGGUGCAGCUGGACUUUUAUCUGAGCUAAAAGCAUAUCUAUUUAGUCCUCGUCAAACAGGAUUAUUACUUUUGCUGCAGCUAACAUAAAGGAUAAUUGUCCUCUUUGCUGACUGAUGCAGGAUUUUACGACACUUUAUGUGUUGUUCAACUCGAUCUCAAAUCAAGUAAGACUACCCGCUGAACUUAAGCAUAUCAAUAAGCGGAGGAAAAGAAACUAACAAGGAUUCCCCUAGUAACGGCGAGUGAAGCGGGAUGAGCUCAAAUUUGAAAUCUGGCUGGGUUACUAGUCCGAGUUGUAAUUUAAAGAAGCGUUUUCGGUGGCAGCCUGGGUAUAAAUCCUUUGGAAUAGGGUAUCAUAGAGGGUGAGAAUCCCGUCUUUGACCUAGUGCAUGCUACUAUGCGAUACGUUUUCAAAGAGUCGAGUUGUUUGGGAAU
rnacentral:sRNA from 1 species